AACGAACGCUGGCGGCAGGCCUAACACAUGCAAGUCGAGCGCCCCGCAAGGGGAGCGGCGGACGGGUGAGUAACGCGUGGGAACGUACCUUUUGCUUCGGAAUAGCCUCGGGAAACUGGGAGUAAUACCGAAUGUGCCCUACGGGGGAAAGAUUUAUCGGCAAAAGAUCGGCCCGCGUUGGAUUAGGUAGUUGGUGGGGUAAUGGCCUACCAAGCCGACGAUCCAUAGCUGGUUUGAGAGGAUGAUCAGCCACACUGGGACUGAGACACGGCCCAGACUCCUACGGGAGGCAGCAGUGGGGAAUCUUAGACAAUGGGCGCAAGCCUGAUCUAGCCAUGCCGCGUGAGCGAUGAAGGCCUUAGGGUUGUAAAGCUCUUUCGUGGGGGAAGAUAAUGACUGUACCCCAAGAAGAAGCCCCGGCUAACUCCGUGCCAGCCGCCGCCGUAAAAC
rnacentral:rRNA from 1 species